rnacentral:lncRNA from 1 species
GCAGACUGAACUCAAGCCUCAUCGAUAACCCAUAAGUAAACCUUCUCAGGAGCCUGAGCCAGAAACUGUGGUUCUGUCAGCAGCCGUGGGGUGGGGCAGGAGCCAGAGACACACAGCUCGCCACAGCAGCCUGAGCACUUCUGCUUGGAGAACUGUACUCAGGGGACAACGUCAUUGGUAUCGCACUGAAAACCUUGAAUUCCUAAGAAAACAACAUUGCUACCCUUCUAGACAAGCCCAGAGAUGACCACAUGAUAGGACUGACGGUUUGGAGAAGACCAAACUACACAACACACCUUUGUUUCAGAUAGGAAAAAGGAACUUAUAUAUAAUGUCAAAUGACACUAUGAAGAAAUUUAAACAACAGCUCAUAGGCUAUAGAAAUUAUUUGUAUGCUGGGCAGAGUGGCUGCAUGCCUUUAAUCCCAGGAUCCAGAAACAGUGGCAGGCAGAGCUCUGAGAGUUCAAGGCCAGCCUGGUCUUUUUAAUGAGUUUGAAGACAGCCAAAUCUACAUAGAUUAAACCCUAUUUUUUAUUAAGUUUUAAAAAUAAUAUAUCUGAUAUAUAUCUUUAAUUUUAUAUAGUUAAGGUAUAUAUAAAAACUUUAAAUAUACAAAGAACUUUUGUAACUCAAGAACAAAAGACAUUUUUUUUUUUCAAAUUUUUUUGUCAGGCAAAUGACUGUGGAAAUUUUUUUAGAAGAGGUGCACUGGUAGCUCCUGAGCGUAGGAAAUGAUGGCAUGGUUAGUCACUGGAGCAACGCAAGGGUUCCUUAUAGUGCUGUGAUAAUCAUCAGGACCAAAAGCAACUCGGAGAAGGAAAAGAUUCACUUGACUUGCGGCUUACAGUUAAUCACAGAAGGAAGCCGCGGCAGAUAAAGACAGGAACUGAAGCAGAGACC